CAGCCGCCGCGGUAAUACGUAGGGUGCAAGCGUUAAUCGGAAUUACUGGACGUAAAGCGUGCGCAGGCGGUUUUGUAAGGCAGAGGUGAAAUCCCCGGGCUCAACCUGGGAACUGCCUUUGUGACUGCAAGGCUGGAGUGCGGCAGAGGGGGAUGGAAUUCCGCGUGUAGCAGUGAAAUGCGUAGAUAUGCGGAGGAACACCGAUGGCGAAGGCAAUCCCCUGGGCCUGCACUGACGCUCAUGCACGAAAGCGUGGGGAGCAAACAGGAUUAGAUACCCCCGUAGUCCCUGUCUCUUAUAC
rnacentral:rRNA from 1 species